GGGUAUUUGGUCUAAUGGUUAUGACGGAGCUCUCAUGAAGCUUAGAUAGCGGUUCAAUUCCGUUAAUACUCA
rfam:Sphaeroforma arctica JP610 cont1.22881, whole genome shotgun sequence.